CAGAGGGUGCGAGCGUUAAUCGGAAUUACUGGGCGUAAAGCGCGCGUAGGCGGCUUUGCAAGUCGGGUGUGAAAUCCCAGGCUUAACCUGGGAACUGCAUUCGAGACUGCAUUGCUAGAGUAUGGGAGAGGGAAGUGGAAUUUCCGGUGUAGCGGUGAAAUGCGUAGAUAUCGGAAGGAACAUCAGUGGCGAAAGCGACUUCCUGGACCAAUACUGACGCUCAUGUGCGAAAGCGUGGGGAGCAAACAGGAUUAGAUACCCUGGUAGUCCACGCCAUAAACGAUGACAACUGGAUGUCGGGAGGGUCUGCCUCUCGGUGUCGUAGCUAACGCGUUAAGUUGUCCGCCUGGGGAGUACGGCCGCAAGGUUG
rnacentral:rRNA from 1 species